AUGAAGGACACGCAGGACANGUGGCAGAGGAGGAGGCAACGACGGGCUCUUGGGGGCCUGCGUCUGUGGCAGAGGAGGAGGCGACGACGGGCUCUUGGGGGCCUGCGUCUGUGGCAGAGGAGGAGGCGACGACGGGCUCUUGGGGGCCCGCGCCUGGUGAGGGCAGGACUGGCGGUGACCGGAGGCAGAGACGCCGGAGGAGACGUCCUUGACUCCUGGACUGGAGGUGGCGGCGACGACUUCUGGACUGGAGGCGGCGGAGACGGCCUCUGGACUGGAGGUGGCAGAGACGGCCUCUGGACUGGAGGCGGCGGCAACAACCACUGGACUGGAGGCGGUGGCGACGGCCACUGGACUGGAGGCGGCCACUGGACUGGAGGCGGCGACGUCGGCCACUGGACUGGAGACGGCGGCGUCGACCACUGGACUGGAGACGGCGGCGUGGACCACCGGACUGGAGACGGCGUCGACCACUGGACUGGAGACGGCGUCGACCACUGGACUGGAGACGGCGUCGACCCCUGGACUGAAGGGGACGUCAACAACUGGACUGGAGACGGCGUCGACCACGGGACUGGAGACGGCGUCGACCACGGGACUGGAGACGGCGUCGACCACUGGACUGGAGACGGCAUCGACCAAUGGACUGGAGACGGCAUCGACCAAUGGACUGGAGACGGCGUCGACCACGGGACUGGAGACGGCGUCGACCCCUGGACUGGAGGGGACGUCGACCUCGGACUAGAGGGGACGCCGACCCCUGAACUGGAGGGGACGUCGACCUCUGAACUGGAGGGGACGUCGACCUCUGAAAUGGAGGGGACGUCGACCUCUGAACUGGAAGGGAGCGUCGACCUCUGGACACAAGGGAGCGUCGACCUCUGGACACGAAGUUGCGUCGACCUCUGGACACGAAGGUGCGUCGACCUCUGGACACGAAGGAGCGUCGACCUCUGGAUUCGAGGGAGCGUCGACCUUUGGACACGAAGGAACGUCGACCUCUGGACACGAGGGAGCGUCAACCUCUGGACACGAGGGAGCGUCGACCUCUGGACACGAAGGAACGUCGACCUCUGGAUACGAAGGAGCAUCGACCUCUGGACUGGAAAGAGCAUCGACCUCUGGACUGGAAACAGCGUCGACCUCUGGACUGGAGAGAGCGUCGACCUCUGGACUGGAGAGAGCAUUGGCCUCAGGACUGGAGAGAGCGUCGACCUCAGGACUGGAGAGAGCGUCGACCUCAGGACUGGAGAGAGCGUCGACCUCUGGACUGGAAAGAGCGUCGACCUCUGGACUGGAGAGAGCGUCGACCUCUGGACUGGAGAGAGAGUCGACCUCUGGACUGGAGAGAGCGUCGACCUCUGGACUGGAGAGAGAGUCGACCUCUGGACUGGAGAGAGCGUUGACCUCUGGACUGGGGAGAGCAUCGACCUCUGGACUGGAGAGAACGUCGACCUCAGGACUAGAAAGGGCGUCGACCACAGGACUGGAAGGAGCGUCGACUUCAGGAAUGGGGGGCGUCGACCUCCAUCGACUUCUGGUCCGGAGGCGUCGACUUCUGGUCUGGGGGCGUCGACUUCUGGACCGCCAACUUCUGGACCGUCGACUUCUGGACCAUCGACUUCUGGUCCGGUGGGCGUCGACUUCUGGUCCGGGAGCGUCGGCUUCUGGACUGCUGGCCUCUGGACCGUCGGCUUCUGGAGUGGAGGAGGAGUUGCUGCAGACGGGACCGCUUGGACAGGCUGGACCGGAUGCGGUGUGACCUCCGGGACCACCGCUGGAACUGGAUGCGGUGCAACCUUUCGGACCACCACGGGAACUGGACGCGGCGUGACCUCCGGGACCACCGCUGGAACAGGAUACGGUGCGACCUCCGGGACCACCACGGGGACUGGCUGUGAUGCAUCCACCGGGACCACCGCUGGAACAGGAGCUGACUGA
rnacentral:lncRNA from 1 species